GGGCGUUUAGCUCAGCUGGUAGAGCGCCGGCCUUACAAGCCGGUGGUCGGGGGUUCGAGUCCCUCAACGCCCA
rnacentral:tRNA from 1 species